rnacentral:lncRNA from 1 species
AUGCCUGGAAAAUGUAAAUUCCAGGUUGCGUGGCUUUCCAAGGAUAUAUACAAAGACUGGCUCGUCAAAGACCCACAAGACAUUCAGUUGGCCAGAUGCAAAGCUUGUUGCAAAGCAAUUAAACUGCAGACGAUGGGAGAGGCAGCCCUCACAAGCCACGCCGCGGGCUGUGGCCAUAAAGCAGCCGUCCGCAAGCUCGUAGAAGGUCACAUCAUGGUGAUGAAUGUCGCCGAUCAUGUGAAUGGCUACGGCAAUAUCAAGGAUGAGGAGGAGAAGGAGCCGGUGGCUCUCGGCCUGCACCUCAACGCCUUCGACCGGCUGACAGGAAGUGACCCGUCGGCAGACCUGGAGCACAGUGUCCUCGGCGCCAGCUCCGCUUCCCACAAUGCCUCGUUCCAGGAGGUCACGUUCCCGACCAGCUUCAUAGACUCGCGCGGCGUGCCGAGCCAAAGCAGUGUCGACUGUGGUGUCCCCAGGGUCCAACCUCCCAACAUCAAUCCCCACCACCACCCUCCCCGCCUCCUCCUCCACGCUCCCCAGCAGCCCCCCCUACACCACCGGCCUCCGUCACCAGCCCGACGCCGCUGCGAGGAGCCGGCGCUGCGAGACACGGCGCCCCCUCCUAAGUUUCCUCGCACGCCUCGCUCCGUGACGGCGGCGGCGGCGGCGGCCCUCGCCAGACGGGAGCGGGAGCAGCGGGAGAGGGUGGAGGCCCUGGAGGAGGAGCGGGUGGAGAUGCUGGGGGAGCAGCAGCAGCAGCAGGAGGGGCGCAGGGAGCAGAUGGAGAGCCUGGAGUGGGAGCGGCGCAUGCGGGUGCUGGUGUGGGAGCAGGAGGUGCUGAGGGAGAAGGGCAGGGCGGCCCGGGAGAAGGCCCGGGCCUACCGCAUGAAGAGGAGGUACUACGGGGCCAAGCUGAAGAGGAUGGGCCAGGACGUCCCGCCGCCGCCGCCGUCGUCGUCGUCGUCCUCCGGCAGCGACCAGGACGAGUGGGGGAGCGGCGAGCGAGCGCCCAAGGAGGGGGCGAUUGUGUGA